AAUCAACGCUGGCGGCGUGCCUCAGACAUGCAAGUCGAACGAUUAAAGCUCUCUUCGGAGAGUGCAUAGAGUGGCGCACGGGUGAGUAACACGUAAGUAAUCUACCUUCGAGUGGGGAAUAACGUCCGGAACGGACGCUAAUACCGCAUAAUGCAGCGGCAUCAUAAGAUGACAGUUGUUAAAGAUUUAUCGCUUGAAGAGGAGCUUGCGGCAGAUUAGCUAGUUGGUAAGGUAAUGGCUUACCAAGGCUACGAUCUGUAACCGGUCUAAGAGGACGGUCGGUCACACUGACACUGAAUAACGGGUCAGACUCCUACGGGAGGCAGCAGUCGGGGAA
rnacentral:rRNA from 1 species